rnacentral:lncRNA from 1 species
UGAGGCUCUAGGUGCCCCAGUAGCAGGGCCUUCUGCAGCAAGGCCGGGAACUGCUGCACCAUUGAUACCAGAGAUGAGACUGAGGUUUCUCACCGGUUCCUAAGCCCAGUCAGAGCUGUCAGGUAAUUACAGGGUAACCGACAGCCCAGAGCCAGGCGGGCGUGGAGCCGGAGCGUCAGUCUCGCCGGGCGCUCCUUCCCUGCGCCCCUGUCUGGAAAAGAGGAGACCUGGAAGCCGGGUUAAACUUUAACACGGGUCGGGCACAGAGCAGGGGGAAUCAGCUGCAUUCCCUCUGGCCAAGCUGGUCAGAGCUCUGCGGGCUGCCGUCCUUGGCCAAGAGCGUGUGGGCUAGCUCCGGUCUCUGCCCAGGCUGGUAAACAAGGGCGUGGAAAAGAUACCCCAGUCUGCGGUGACGAGGACUCCAGUGCCCGAAGUGCAGCUCGCCCAGCCCUAGCUCAGUG